ensembl:lncRNA
GGCAGGUUCACAGUGUUAGCACACUAACUAGCCUAGCUUCCCUCCCUGCUGCUCUAGGCAGGUUCACAGUGUUAGCACACUAACUAGCCUAGCUUCCCUCCCUGCUGCUCUAGGUAGGUUCACAGUGUUAGCACACUAACUAGCCUAGCUGCUCCCCCCUGCUGCUCUAGGCAGGUUCACAGUGUUAGCACACUAACUAGCCUAGCUUCCCUCCCUGCUGCUCUAGGCAGGUUCACAGUGUUAGCACACUAACUAGCCUAGCUGCUCCUCCCUGCUGCUCUAGGCAGGUUCACAGUGUUAGCACACUAACUAGCCUAGCUUCCCUCCCUGCUGCUCUAGGCAGGUUCACAGUGUUAGCACACUAACUAGCCUAGCUGCUCCUCCCUGCUGCUCUAGGCAGGUUCACAGUGUUAGCACACUAACUAGCCUAGCUGCUCCUCCCUGCUGCUCUAGGCAGGUUCACAGUGUUAGCACACUAACUAGCCUAGCUGCUCUAGGCAGGUUCACAGUGUUAGCACACUAACUAGCCUAGCUGCCCCUCCCUGCUUCUCUAGGCAGGUUCACAGUGUCCUUUCCUUAAAACAAAGACACACUUUGGCCCAGAAACCGGAUACACUCCCACUUCUCCUCCUUCUCUCUCUGCCUUUCUCCUUCUCUCAAUCUCCACCUCACACUUUCUUUCUCCCCUUCUCCCUCCUCACCCCGUCACUCUUUCCCUAUUUCUUUUUCUGCUUCUCUUUCUCCCUUCUCCUUCGCUCAACCCUCUCUUUCCUUCCUACCUCUCCUUUUCCUUCUCUUUCUUAUUCUCUCCAUUUCUCUCUCCCCACUGGUUUCACUUAAUAAGCUUCAAAGGUUUUCUGGGCAACGUGGUAUCUUAAAAAAAAGUAACCAUGGCAUUUAUUUGGCACACAACAUCUUCCCUCUUUCUGAGGAUAUGGGGGUUGCCAUGACAUCGGUGGGCACCUUAUAAAGCA